AGAUUGAACGCUGGCGGCAGGCCUAACACAUGCAAGUCGAGCGGUAGAGAGGUGCUUGCAUCUCUUGAGAGCGGCGGACGGGUGAGUAAUGCCUAGGAAUCUGCCUAGUGGUGGGGGAUAACGUUCGGAAACGGACGCUAAUACCGCAUACGUCCUACGGGAGAAAGCGGGGGACCUUCGGGCCUCGCGCCAUUAGAUGAGCCUAGGUCGGAUUAGCUAGUUGGUGAGGUAAUGGCUCACCAAGGCGACGAUCCGUAACUGGUCUGAGAGGAUGAUCAGUCACACUGGAACUGAGACACGGUCCAGACUCCUACGGGAGGCAGCAGUGGGGAAUAUUGGACAAU
rnacentral:rRNA from 1 species